rnacentral:rRNA from 1 species
GCAACUCGCUACAUGAAGUCGGAAUCGCUAGUAAUCGCGGAUCAGCAUGCCGCGGUGAAUACGUUCCCGGGCCUUGUACACACCGCCCGUCACACCAUGAGAGUUUGUAACACCCAAAGCCGGUGGGGUAACCUUUUGGAGCCAGCCGUCUAAGGUGGGACAGAUGAUUAGGGUGAAGUCGUAACAAGGUAGC